rnacentral:rRNA from 1 species
UACAGAGGUCUCAAGCGUUGUUCGGAUUCAUUGGGCGUAAAGGGUGCGUAGGCGGCGGGGUAAGUCAGGUGUGAAAUCUCGGGGCUCAACCCCGAAACUGCGCUUGAUACUGCCUUGCUCGAGUACUGGAGAGGAGAUUGGAAUUUACGGUGUAGCAGUGAAAUGCGUAGAUAUCGUAAGGAAGACCAGUGGCGAAGGCGAAUCUCUGGACAGUUACUGACACUGAGGCACGAAGGCCAGGGGAGCAAACGGG